rnacentral:rRNA from 1 species
GCAGCAGCCGCGGGAAUACAGAGGGUGCGAGCGUUAAUCGGAUUUACUGGGCGUAAAGCGUGCGUAGGCGGCUAAUUGAGUCGGAUGUGAAAUCCCCGAGCUUAACUUGGGAAUUGCAUUCGAUACUGGUUAGCUAUAGUGUGGGAGAGGAUGGUAGAAUUCCAGGUGUAGCGGUGAAAUGCGUAGAGAUCUGGAGGAAUACCGAUGGCGAAGGCAGCCAUCUGGCCUAACACUGACGCUGAGGUACGAAAGCAUGGGGAGCAAACAGGAUUAGAUACCCGUGUAGUCCCUGUCUCUUAUAC